rnacentral:rRNA from 1 species
GUGUCAGCAGCCGCGGUAAUACGAGAGGUGCAAGCGUUAUUCGGAAUCAUUGGGCGUAAAGGGCGCGUAGACGGUAUGUUAAGUUUGCUGUUAAAUCCUUCGGCUCAACUGAAGGUUCGCGGUGAAUACUGGUAUACUAGAGGAUGGAAGAGAGGAGUGGAAUUCUCGGAGUAGCGGUAAAAUGCGUAGAUCUCGAGAGGAACACCGAUGGCGAAGGCAGCUCCUUGGUCCAUAUCUGACGUUGAGGCGCGAAAGCGUGGGGAGCAAACAGGAUUAGAUACCCUGGUAGUCCACGCUGUAAACGAUAAUCACUAGACGUUGGUUCUGUUUAACGGAAUUAGUGUCGAAGCUAACGCGUUAAGUGAUUCGCCUGGGAAGUACGGUCGCAAGAUUAAA